ACCCGCACAAGCGGUGGAUGAUGUGGAUUAACUCGAUGCAACGCGAAAACCUUACCUACCCUUGACAUGUCUGGAACCUUGGUGAGAGCCGAGGGUGCCUUCGGGAGCCAGAACACAGGUGCUGCAUGGCUGUCGUCAGCUCGUGUCGUGAGAUGUUGGGUUAAGUCCCGCAACGAGCGCAACCCUUGUCACUAGUUGCCAUCAUUUAGUUGGGCACUCUAGUGAGACUGCCGGUGACAAACCGGAGGAAGGUGGGGAUGACGUCAAGUCCUCAUGGCCUUUAUGACCAGGGCUACACACGUACUACAAUGGCCGGUACAAAGGGCAGCCACUUAGCGAUAAGGAGCCAAUCCCGUAAAGCCGGUCUCAGUCCGGAUUGGAGUCUGCAACUCGACUCCAUGAAGUUGGAAUCGCUAGUAAUCGCAGAUCAGCACGCUGCGGUCGAAUACGUUCCCGGGCCUU
rnacentral:rRNA from 1 species